CCAGUUGGCUGGGCAGCCGCGCUUCAUCAAUGCCGAAAGGCGAUGGGGUGAGGAAAGUCCGGGCUCCACGGAAACACGGUGCCGGAUAACGUCCGGCGGGGGCAACCUCAGGGAAAGUGCCACAGAAAGCAAACCGCCUGAUUUUCGGAUCGGGUAAGGGUGAAAGGGUGGGGUAAGAGCCCACCGCGUCUCUGGCAACAGCGACGGCACGGAAAACCCCACCGGGAGCAAAACCGAAUAGGGAUGACACGGAGCGCGCAAGCGCUCCAGCCCGUUUCCGGGCCGGUCAUCCGGGUGGGUUGCAUGAGGCGUCGCGCAAGCGCCGUCCCAGAUGAAUGGCUGCCACGUUCCGGCCUUGGCCGGAGCCAUACAGAACCCGGCUUACAGGCCAACUGGCAAA
rnacentral:RNase_P_RNA from 2 species